GGCUCGGUGGUGGAAGGUCCUCGUCUGCUUCUCGAAGCCAAAUUCAUUUAUCACUGUAAACAGAAAUAGCCUGUUGGAAUCAGGCCCGAGCCA